rnacentral:rRNA from 1 species
UACGUAGGGUGCAAGCGUUGUCCGGAAUUAUUGGGCGUAAAGGGCUCGUAGGCGGUCUGUCGCGUCUGCUGUGAAAAUCAGGGCUCAACCCUGGACCUGCAGUGGGUACGGGCAGACUAGAGUGCGGUAGGGGAGAUCGGAAUUCCUGGUGUAGCGGUGAAAUGCGCAGAUAUCAGGAGGAACACCGGUGGCGAAGGCGGGUCUCUGGGCCGAUACUGACGCUGAGGAGCGAAAGCAUGGGGAGCGAACAGG